UGUCGGAGAAUAUAACCUUCCACAGCUAGUGAGCAUUGUGGGUGAAAGCCAUAAGAACGAUCAUAUCAUCCGGAAAGACAACAUUGAYGCUCUUGGCAAGAAUAUGACAACAGAGAUCAACAAACUGAUCAAAAAGGCAUGCAGAUAAGAGUUUGGAAUUUGAAAGAUCAACAAUAUUUACAGUAAUAACAAUAAUGGUAAACCAUUAUAAACUACAGUAAAAAUAAAUAACGUGAAAUAAUCUUUAACUUGCUUAUAAAGGUCUUGAUUGGGUAGGGAARUGUUUGUAACAUUUUCAAAGCUAAAAUAUGUAAACGCAUUGUGCAAACAUAGUAUACGUAAAUUAAACCUUAUUUUUUCCGUCAUUAAAAUGCUUAAAUUAAUAGUGUUUYUACAUUGUUUAACGCUUUAACUAUUAAACGUGUAUACAAGUUGAAGCUAAUUCAACCA